UACGAGGGGUGCAAGCGUUGCUCGGAAUUAUUGGGCGUAAAGGGUAGGUAGGUGGUCUCAUUUGUCUUGUGUGAAAUCCUUGGGCUUAACUCAAGAAGUGCGCAAGAAACGGUGAGACUGGAGUCCUGGAGAGGUGAGUGGAAUUCCCGGUGUAGCGGUGAAAUGCGUAGAGAUCCGGAGGAACACCAAAGGCGAAGGCAGUGUCCUGGGGAGUACCUGACGCUCAGGUGCGAAAGCCAGGGGAGCGAACGGG
rnacentral:rRNA from 1 species